AGUGAACGCUGGCGGUAGGCCUAACACAUGCAAGUCGAACGGCAGCACAGUAAGAGCUUGCUCUUACGGGUGGCGAGUGGCGGACGGGUGAGGAAUACAUCGGAAUCUACUUUUUCGUGGGGGAUAACGUAGGGAAACUUACGCUAAUACCGCAUACGACCUACGGGUGAAAGCAGGGGAUCUUCGGACCUUGCGCGAUUGAAUGAGCCGAUGUCGGAUUAGCUAGUUGGCGGGGUAAAGGCCCACCAAGGCGACGAUCCGUAGCUGGUCUGAGAGGAUGAUAGGCCACACUGGAACUGAGACAGGGUCCAGACUCCUACGGGAGGCAGCAGUGGGGAAUAGUGGACAAUGGGCGCAAGCCUGAUCCAGCCAUACCGCGUGGGUGAAGAAGGCCUUCGGGUUGUAAAGCCCUUUUGUUGGGAAAGAAAAGCAGCAGGUUAAUACCCCGCUGUUCUGACGGUACCCAAAGAAUAAGCACCGGCUAACUUCGUG
rnacentral:rRNA from 1 species